rnacentral:rRNA from 1 species
CCUACGGGUGGCAGCAGUGAGGAAUAUUGGUCAAUGGGCUUACGCCUGAACCAGCCAAGUCGCGUGAGGGAAGACUGCCCUAUGGGUUGUAAACCUCUUUUGUCAGGGAGCAAUUGGCCCUACGUGUAGCGUUAUCGAGAGUACCUGACGAAAAAGCAUCGGCUAACUCCGUGCCAGCAGCCGCGGUAAUACGGAGGAUGCGAGCGUUCUCCGGAUUUAUUUGGUUUAAAGGGUGCGUAGGCGGAAUGCCAAGUCAGUGGUAAAAUAGCGGGGCUCAAUCUCGCUCCGCCGUUGAAACUGGCGUACUUGAGUGGGCGAGAGGUAUGCGGAAUGCGUGGUGAAGCGGUGAAAUGCGUAGAUAUAUGGCAGAACACCGAAUGCGAAGGCAGCUUACUGGCGCCCAACUGACGCUGAGGGACGAAAGCGUGGGGAGCGAACAGGAUUAGAUACCCCAGUAGUC